UANNCUGCAGUCGACGCUUUGUGGUUCAACUGAUUUGAAGAGCUUGCUCAGAUAUGACGAUGGACAUUGCAAAGAGUGGCGAACGGGUGAGUAACACGUGGGAAACCUACCUCUUAGCAGGGGAUAACAUUUGGAAACAGAUGCUAAUACCGUAUAACAAUGACAACCGCAUGGUUGUUAUUUAAAAGAUGGUUCUGCUAUCACUAAGAGAUGGUCCCGCGGUGCAUUAGCUAGUUGGUAAGGUAAUGGCUUACCAAGGCGAUGAUGCAUAGCCGAGUUGAGAGACUGAUCGGCCACAAUGGGACUGAGACACGGCCCAUACUCCUACGGGAGGCAGCAGUAGGGAAUCUUCCACAAUGGGCGAAAGCCUGAUGGAGCAACGCCGCGUGUGUGAUGAAGGGUUUCGGCUCGUAAAACACUGUUGUAAGAGAAGAAUGACAUUGAGAGUAACUGUUCAAUGUGUGACGGUAUCUUACCAGAAAGGAACGGCUAAAUACGUGCCAGCAGCCNNCGGU
rnacentral:rRNA from 1 species